UACGGAGGGGCGAGCGUUAUUCGGAUUUACUGGGCGUAAAGGGUGCGUAGGCGGCCGCGCAAGUCUGGUGUGAAAUCUUCACCGCUCAACGGGAAGAGGUCACUGGAAACUGCGCGGCUCGAGUAUGGUAGAGGCAAGCGGAAUUCCUGGUGUAGCGGUGGAAUGUGUAGAUAUCAGGAAGAACACCCGUGGCGAAGGCGGCUUGCUGGGCCACUACUGACGCUGAGGCACGAAAGCGUGGGGAGCAAACGGGGAUUAGAUACCCCCGGUA
rnacentral:rRNA from 1 species